UACGUAGGUGGCAAGCGUUGUCCGGAUUUAUUGGGUUUAAAGGGUGCGUAGGCGGUUCUAUAAGUCAGUGGUGAAAUCCGGCAGCUCAACUGUCGAUGUGCCAUUGAUACUGCAGAACUUGAGUACAGACGAGGUAGGCGGAAUUGACGGUGUAGCGGUGAAAUGCUUAGAUAUCGUCAAGAACACCGAUAGCGAAGGCAGCUUACCAGACUGUAACUGACGCUGAUGCACGAAAGUGUGGGGAGCAAACAGG
rnacentral:rRNA from 1 species